rnacentral:tRNA from 1 species
GCUAUUUUGGCUCAGUGGAUAAGGCGUCGGCCUUCGGACUGAAGGGUCACAGGUUCAAUUCCUGUCAAAGGCA